GUCAGCGGGGCUACCUGGCCGAUAUGCUAACUACCCAGUGGACCGGCUGCCUCGCUGUCAGUGGAAAGAAAGAAAGUAUCAAUAUUGAAUUUGUGGAAAUUCGCUCCGCAAUAAAGUGGAUCUUGUGGAAGAAUUCAAACAAAGGCUUUUAAACAUUGCUUUGGACUGGAUUAUUUUGGUUAUGGCAAAGGAUACGAAAGCUUAUUUUGCCUAAAGAAAGGAAUGCCUUUCUGAGAGGCUUUCUAAAUGGAACUGGCUCAUAUCGACAUUGCGCAUGGAGAAAAUCACGAAAACUCCCACGCUGGAACUUUUUUGAGGAUUUGAACAAUGGACAAACUAACAAUUUUCAGUUAUUUAACCAUUUGGUCACUAAUGGGUCUUAAGAAUUGUUUUAAUUAUUAAACCAAUUAAACCAACUCUAAAAUAUAUGUAGAUUUGAAAUAUGUAAUAAAAAAAUAUGCAAUUUUUGAACCUA